rnacentral:tRNA from 1 species
GGCGGUGUAGCUCAGUGGUUAGAGCACUCGGCUCAUACCCGGGGUGUCGCCGGUUCAAAUCCUGCCACCGCUACCA